AGUGAACGCUGGCGGCAGGCCUAACACAUGCAAGUCGAACGGCAGCACGGCAGUAGCAAUACUGUGGGUGGCGAGUGGCGGACGGGUGAGGAAUACAUCGGGAUCUACCCUGUUGUGGGGGAUAACGUAGGGAAACUUACGCUAAUACCGCAUAAGAACUGAGGUUGAAAGCGGCGGACCGCAAGGCGUCGCGCGAUUGGAUGAACCGAUGUCCGAUUAGCUAGUUGGCGGGGUAAAGGCCCACCAAGGCGACGAUCGGUAGCUGGUCUGAGAGGACGACCAGCCACACUGGAACUGAGACACGGUCCAGACUCCUACGGGAGGCGGCAGUGGGGAAUAUUGGACAAUGGGCGCAAGCCUGAUCCAGCCAUGCCGCGUGGGUGAAGAAGGCC
rnacentral:rRNA from 1 species